UGGGGGGUGGUCCAACUGGCAGCGACGCCGGGUUUUGGUCCCGGAAAUCGGGGUUCGAGUCCCUGCCCCCCAG
rnacentral:tRNA from 1 species